GCAUAACGCGAAGAACCUUACCCACCUUUGACAUGUAUGGAAUCCCGAAGAGAUUUGGGAGUGCUCGCAAGAGAGCCAUAACACAGGUGCUGCAUGGCUGUCGUCAGCUCGUGUCGUGAGAUGUUGGGUUAAGUCCCGCAACGAGCGCAACCCUUGCCAUCAGUUGCUACGAAAGGGCACUCUGAUGGGACUGCCGGUGACAAACCGGAGGAAGGUGGGGAUGACGUCAAGUCCUCAUGGCCCUUAUAGGUGGGGCUACACACGUCAUACAAUGGCCGGUACAAAGGGCAGCGAAGCCGCGAGGUGAAGCCAAUCCCAUAAAGCCGGUCGUAGUCCGGAUCGCAGUCUGCAACUCGACUGCGUGAAGUCGGAAUCGCUAGUAAUCGUGGAUCAGCAUGUUACGGUGAAUACGUUCCCGGGUCUUGUACACACCG
rnacentral:rRNA from 1 species